AUACUUACCUUGUUCAGUCGAGAGAAGAUCAUGAAUUUCUCUCGGCAAAGAGGAUGGCCUACAUUGCACAACGUGGAGUCGGCCUCUUUCGAUUGUCCUUCGGGGCCAUCGUGGGCGGAAUUUUUGAUUUACAACCUUGUUUUCAUUGCUACAGC
rnacentral:snRNA from 2 species